AGUUUAGUGAAACUGCAGGACCUUUUGCCACGCACAUGUGUUGAAGUCGGGACUCAGGCUCAGGCAUGGCCAGCAACAUUAAAUAAAUGAAUAUUAUAGGAGACAAGAAUAUUCAUGUUGAUGCAGCUUUUGUAUCAUUCUAUAUGGAUUGGGUCAAGACUCAAGACUGCAGAAACUUGGGCCAAGGCCAUUAGCCAGCCUCAAAUGCAGCUUUGUGUAGGCCCAUUUAAUAAGGAAGAUGUAGGCUGGGCUAGCCG
rnacentral:lncRNA from 1 species